rnacentral:rRNA from 1 species
CCUACGGGAGGCAGCAGUGGGGAAUAUUGCACAAUGGGGGAAACCCUGAUGCAGCGACGCCGCGUGAGUGAAGAAGUAAUUCGUUAUGUAAAGCCCUAUCAGCAGGGAAGAAAAUGACGGUAUCUGAGUAAGAAGCACCGGCUAACUACGUGCCAGCAGCCGCGGUAAUACGUAGGGGGCAAGCGUUAUCCGGAUUUACUGGGUGUAAAGGGAGCGUAGACGGCAGUGCAAGUCUGGAGUGAAAGGCUGGGGCUCAACCCCCGGACUGCUCUGGAAACUGUACGGCUGGAGUGCAGGAGAGGUAGGUGGAAUUCCUAGUGUAGCGGUGAAAUGCGUAGAUAUUAGGAGGAACACCAGUGGCGAAGGCGACUUACUGGACUGUAACUGACGUUGAGGCUCGAAAGCGUGGGGAGCAAACAGGAUUAGAUACCCCUGUAGUC